rnacentral:lncRNA from 1 species
GGGAGGGCAGAAGAGGCUUCCUGGGGAAGAUGGCACUGGAUCUUUAUGGAGGAGCAGGAUUCGAAAUGGUAGAGGAGAGAGAGUGAAGUGGAAGAGAUCUUGCAACAUUUCCUGCCCCACUGACCCCCUACUUUGGGCCUUAGCCCCAAGAGAAGAAGUAUGACUACCCUACUGUUCACAAACAAAGAUGUGGAAUCAACCUAAGUGUCCAUCAAUGGAUAAUUGGAUAAAGAAAAUGUGGCAUAGAUCUAUACAAUGGAAUACUAUUCAGCUAUAAAAAAGACUGAAAUCACAUCUUUUACAAAAACAUGGAUGAAACUGGAGGCCAUUCUCUUUAAGUGAAAUCACUCGGAAAUAGAAAGUCAAAUACCGC